UACGAAGGGAGCUAGCGUUGUUCGGAAUUACUGGGCGUAAAGGGUGCGUAGGUGGCGUGAUAAGUCAGGUGUGAAAUCCCUGGGCUCAACCCGGGAAUUGCAUUUGAUACUAUUGCGCUUGAAUUCGGGAGAGGUAAGUGGAAUUCCCAGUGUAGAGGUGAAAUUCGUAGAUAUUGGGAAGAACACACGUGGCGAAGGCGGCUUACUGGACCGACAUUGACACUGAGGCACGAAAGUGUGGGGAGCAAACAGG
rnacentral:rRNA from 1 species